GAAAGAUGUUUUGGUGUGCUGAAGUCACGGUUUCGGUGUCUGGAUAAAUCUGCUGGCCUUUUGUUGUAUAGUCCCUCAAAGGUGACUAGAAUUGUGUUCUGCUGCUGUUUUCUCCAUAAUCUGUGUUUAACCCAACAUCUGGCACAUGAUGAGGGAGAAAGCAGUCGGCAAGCAGAGGAGUUAGACCCAUCUGGUGACAGUGUGAGUACAUAUGUAGGGAGGCAGGUACGGCAAGAAGUGAUCCUGCGCUAUUUUUCAGAUAACUGAGGGGAUCGGGGCUCAUCACUCUGCGAACUCGCCAAUAGUGCCAGUGGUGGCUGGGGUGACACUGCCGAAAGUCGUCGCCUGGGUGGGGAUGAUGGAGCCGCAGAUUCCGAGCCAAGACGCCGUGUCUUACUUGGCCUCCUGGAAUAUGUGACUACACUGAAGUCUUACCUGCAAUCCCAGCCUCAUCCUGACUUGUCUGAGGCCUGUCUGGCCGGCUGGUCUGUGGGAC